GGCGUCUGUCUCUUUCUUGCAUGCAGGAGAAAAAUGGAGAAGAGGGCUCAGGCAGCAAAACUUUCUUCCUGAUGGAAGGUCAGGUGAGAGAGAAGAAGGGGAGGCUGGAUGGAUCAGGGUCCUCUGGGGCCUUCUGUGUUGAAGAGGAAGUUGUUUCACUCUUGAUGUCCCAUGGGUAGACCAGUAGGCAUUGGCUAUGAUCAGGAUCAAUUUUUGCAACUGUUUUUGGUA